CUGAAGUUUUCUUUUCUUGCUGAGUCUCUGCCAGGUUUUGGUAUCAGGAUGAUGUUGGUCUCAUAAAAUGAUUUGGGAACGAAUCCCAAUUCCCUCUGGAUUGCUUGGAAUAGUUUCAUAUGAAAUGUUACCAGCUCCUCUUUGUAUGUCUGGUAGAAUUCGGUUGUGAAUCCGUCUGGACUUGGGAUUUUUUUGGUGGUAGGCUCUUCAUUGCUGCCUCAACUUCAUACCUUGUUAUUGGUCUAUUCAGGAUUUCGACUUCUUCCUGGUUUAGGCUUGGGAGGAUGCAAGUGUCCAGGAAUUUAGCCAUUUCUUCUAGGUUUACUAGUUUACACGCAUAGAGAUGUUUGUAAUAAUCUCUGAUGAUCGUUUGUAUUUCUGUGGAAUCUGUGGUGAUAUCUCCUUUAUUGUUUUUUAUUGCAUCUAUUUGAUUAUUCUCCCUUUUCUUUUUUAUUAAUCUGGCUAUUGGUCUGUCUAUUUUGUUGAUCUUCUUGAUUUAUUGAAGGGUUUUUUGUGUCUCUAUCUCCUUCAGUUCUGCUCUGAUCUUAGUUAUUUCUUGUCUUCUGCUAGGUUUUGAGUUUUUGAGAGUCUGGCGAAUGUGUGCAGCAUGGCACAGUGUGGCAGGGCCCCUGGCUGCAGCCUGCGCUGCAGCUCCUCCAUCACCUUGCUGAUGAACUGCCUUCCCACGGCCACCAGGAGGCCACUUGCUGCCUGCUGCCAGGCCCCGACCAGGUCCUUCAUCUUGGUCAUCUCACUGGAGGCCAGGAGGAUGAUGGUGCUGGCUGUGUCCUUGACCAGCUCACUGGCACAACUGCUCAGGACCUUCUCUGUAGCCCUCAGGACUGCCUCUCGGUAUGGGUGCACCAGCUUGUCAGGCUGCCGCAGGUACUCCUCACAGGCACAGAGCAUCUCCACUGGCUGCAAUUCCCCAAGGGAACACAGGGCACUGCAGACAUGCUCCUGCACCAGGGGGUUCUUAUUGGUGAUGGCGUCCAGCAGAGUGGAGGACUCAGUCAUUUCUUCUUCAUGUAGGACUCAGUCAUUUCUGUGGCUUCAGCUUCCUUCACCCAGUGUGAACAUGGACAACUUAUUUUCCAAUAUGAGGAGCCACAGCCCUAUGCACCAUGGGAGGACACAGUAA
rnacentral:lncRNA from 1 species